rnacentral:lncRNA from 1 species
UGGUCUAGCUUAAGGGUAUAGAAAUGAAAGUAACGAACUUGUAAUAAUCUUGCAAUGGUUGAUUGUAUUUGAAAGUCGUAUGUAAAAGAAAGUGUAAUGUAAAAUGCAAGUGAGUUGAAUGCUUGUAAUGACUUAGUUGUUUUAUGUUUUUGAUACUUCCUUAUGCAAUCUGUAUGUUGAAUACUGUUCCUGGUUGGAACCUCGCGUAUUGUAUUGAUUGCGACGCCAAGAACGUACAGAGGAAACUCUGUCCGUUCGGCGGUCUAUUAGCGGGCCCGAAUCCGACCAAAUAGGCGGGUCUCAGGGCGUGACAAUGCUGAAGUCAUUUUGGACCCAGUUUAGGGCGUCCGAAAGUUGAGUCUGAAAGUUCACCUCGUGAAUAUCGAAUGUGCUGAGACAUGGCUAGUGGUAGGUGAGAUUCGUCGGAUGAGUUU